UUGCCUACACAGAGAACCAUACAGUGAAUAAGACGUGUAUUGUGAAGACUGAAGGAAGUGAAACCGCCCAUUCAUGGUUGAUUUUAUUACGAUGUUUGAAUUGUUCAUUGUUCUUUCAUUUAUGACCAAUGUUUUUAGAACGGCUACGAAUAUUAUUUUGGGACGCUGUGACAUCGCCCUAUUUAUGAUAUCGCUGCGUAACUAAGGAAUCGAUAGAAGUAUAUUAUGUUGCCUCAAACGUUCCAACGUUCUAUGGAACAUAGACUAUUAUGGGUUUUCCAACACACAUUUAGCCACUGUCUCACGUAGCCUGUUUUAGUUUUGCUAGGCUUGACCCCGAUUUAUCCUUGACGAAUGACCAUCUUAAAUAUCAGGGAACAAAGAGCAAUUGAAUGCACUCUUUAAGGCACAUUCAGUCUCGGGGCCCUCAGGCCAGAGUGGGGCAGUAAAGCACCUAUGGGGCUGACUACAAGCCCCCCAGUGAUCGACACCUCAGGCUGUUCAGGCUGCAUGCAGAGCCGUCUUGCACCACACAUCAGAAGUUGGCGGAUAUGUGGGCUCAGUACUACAGACAGUGUUUCCAGACCAUUACCAACGGCCCACAGAACCCCGCCUUUUCCUUCACUCAGAAGGGGAGAACAGUGAGGGCAGCUAUGUUGGACAGUGAGAAUGUCAGUAAGAUCCAAGUAGAAAGGACAGCUCCUCCAGAUAAGGGGCAGAGCCAGAUACCACCACAGUGUUCGAGCUCCGACUCUGGGGAACGAAGGUCGGUCUCUCCCUCUCUCUCCUCAACCUCAGUCCAUAACUCCCCCCCGUCCCGCCCUGCAAGGAAAGAGGCAUGGACACAUGCAACAGGGGAUCCGGCACUGGGGAUCACAACGACACCCAAGGACAUGGUGGAGCUGCCUCACAUCGGCAGUGGAGAAG